UGCCGCUUGUCUCCACACCCUUUUGGUU
rnacentral:piRNA from 1 species